GGAUAGCCUCCACGGGCUUACGCGUGGGAUAGCCUCUACGAGCUUAUGCGUAGGAUAGCCUCCACGGGCUUACGCGUGGGAUAGCUGCCACGAGCUUAUGCGUGGGAUUUGUGCAGUCUUGGACUGGGACAUGAUCUUGGUUAGUCCAACGCCAGAAAUGAAAAGUUUGAAAACUUUGGAAUUUGAGUAAUAUGGGAAUGGAUCACAUAAUGUGAAAAAGGAUUUGUGUAUAUGUACUAAUUACAUAUAUUUGUUGUUUGUUGAGCUUUUGAAAUGAUGAAAUGAUAUAUAUAUUUUGAUACUUGAUUAUUUUAUGAUUUUAUCGUGUGUGGCUGUUGGAAUUCUUACUGGGCUGGAAAAGCUCAUACUAUUCUUACUUUUUUUUUUCAGAGGCACUGGAUUUGUAGAGUCCAUCGGGUGGGACGAGAAAUGAGAUCAGCAUGGAGUCUGAUUGCUAGAUAGAUAGGAGUUAAUCUAUCUUUUAUUUAUGGACAUUUGAAAUU
rnacentral:lncRNA from 1 species